rnacentral:rRNA from 1 species
CACCGGCGGCCCGAGUGGUAGCCACUUUUAUUGGGUCUAAAGGGUCCGUAGCCGGUUUGAUCAGUCUUCCGGGAAAUCUGACAGCUCAACUGUUAGGCUUCUGGGGGAUACUGUCAGACUUGGAACCGGGAGAGGUAAGAGGUACUACAGGGGUAGGAGUGAAAUCUUGUAAUCCCUGUGGGACCACCAGUGGCGAAGGCGUCUUACCAGAACGGGUUCGACGGUGAGGG